rnacentral:rRNA from 1 species
UACGAAGGGGACUAGCGUUGUUCGGAAUCACUGGGCGUAAAGCGCACGUAGGCGGAUUGUUAAGUCAGGGGUGAAAUCCCGGGGCUCAACCUCGGAACUGCCUUUGAUACUGAUGAUCUCGAGUCCGGAAGAGGUGGGUGGAAUUCCUAGUGUAGAGGUGAAAUUCGUAGAUAUUAGGAAGAACACCAGUGGCGAAGGCGGCCCACUGGUCCGGUACUGACGCUGAGGUGCGAAAGCGUGGGGAGCAAACAGG